GACGAACGCUGGCGGCGUGCUUAACACAUGCCAGUCGAACGGAAAGGCCUUUCUUUUGUGGGGUACUCGAGUGGCGAACGGUUACGUAACACGUGCGUAACCUGCCCUUGACUUUGGGAUAUCUUCACGACACUUAGUCUCAUACCGGAUCGUAGCUCCUGCUGCCUGGUGUGGGUUGGUACGUUUCGGCGGUUGGGGCUGGACUCGCGGCUUAUCAUCUUGUUGGUGGGGUAGUGGCUUACCAAGGCUUGGAAGGGUAGCCGGCCGGAGGGGGGGACCGGCCACAUUGGGACGGAGAUAGGGCCAGGCCUCCUACGGGAGGCAGCAGUGGGGAAUAUUGCACAAGGGGCGGAACCCGAAUGCAGCACGGCGGCGUGCGGGAUGACGGCCUUCGGGUGGUAAACCGCUUUCGCCUGGGCCGAACCGCGAGUGACGGUAACGGGUAAAGAAGCACCGGCUAACUACGUG
rnacentral:rRNA from 1 species